rnacentral:rRNA from 1 species
GUGGGGAAUAUUGGACAAUGGGCGCAAGCCUGAUCCAGCCAUGCCGCGUGAGUGAUGAAGGCCUUAGGGUUGUAAAGCUCUUUCACCGAUGAAGAUAAUGACGGUAGUCGGAGAAGAAGCCCGGCUAACUUCGUGCCAGCAGCCGCGGUAAUACGAAGGGGGCUAGCGUUGUUCGGAUUUACUGGGCGUAAAGCGCACGUAGGCGGUUUGUUAAGUCAGGGGUGAAAUCCCGGAGCUCAACUCCGGAACUGCCUUUGAUACUGGCAAGCUAGAGUCCGGAAGAGGUAAGUGGAACUCCUAGUGUAGAGGUGGAAUUCGUAGAUAGUAGGAAGAACACCAGUGGCGAAGGCGGCUUACUGGUCCGGAACUGACGCUGAGGUGCGAAAGCGUGGGGAGCAAACAGGAUUAGAUACCCUAGUAGUCC